rnacentral:misc_RNA from 1 species
UAUGAAGAACGCAGUGAAAUGCGAUAAGUAAUGUGAAUUGCAGAAUUCAGUGAAUCAUCGAAUCUUUGAACGCACAUUGCGCCCAUUAGUAUUCUAGUGGGCAUGCCUGUUCGAGCGUCAUUUCAACCCUCAAGCCUUAGUUGCUUGGUGUUGGGAGCUUAUCUUGCCGAAAGGCGGGACAACUCCUUAAAUUUAUCGGCGGAGUCGCGGUGACCCCAAGCGUAGUAAAUUAUUUUUUCCUCGCUUUAGGUGUUAACGCUGGCUUUUCUAGCCGUUAAACCCCCCCUAAUAUUUUAAUGGUUGACCUCGGAUCAGGUAGGACUACCCGCUGAACUUAAGCAUAUCAAUAAGCGGAGGA